rnacentral:lncRNA from 1 species
UAUUACUAGAUUUAUUUCACUUGACUGGGCGGGGUUUAAGAAGUUCACUUAUUUAAGACCAGCCCAACUUUAGACAGGAGUUUUGGGAUAAACUCAUCAAUGAAGUGUCCAGUUAUUCGUCCCAUAUCAUACACUCAGUUCUUUUGUAUAUGCGUUUGGUGACACUGAUAGGUGAUUAGAAUUCAAUAAUAAUUAUAACGACAUUCAUCCUUAUUAC